UACGUAGGGGGCAAGCGUUGUCCGGAUUUAUUGGGCGUAAAGAGCGUGUAGGCGGCUUUACAGGUCCGUUGUGAAAACUCGAGGCUCAACCUCGAGACGCCGGUGGAAACCGUAAAGCUAGAGUCCGGAAGAGGAGAGUGGAAUUCCUGGUGUAGCGGUGAAAUGCGUAGAUAUCAGGAGGAACACCGAUGGCGAAGGCAGGUCUCUGGGCUGACACUGACGCUCAUGCACGAAAGCGUGGGGAGCAAACAGG
rnacentral:rRNA from 1 species